UAAGACCAUGUUUAUCAAAAUUCGGCCUAACGUCCAAAGUGAAUAAUUUUUUGUUAGAAAUAUUCUCUAACAUGUUCUUUUCCUGUAAUGUACUGGUUUUUAUAUGUAGAGUUGGUGAAAGAACACAAUUUUUAGGUUUACAUUACUAGUAUAAAUCCUAUAAUUUGCGCUACUUUUUAAGAUUGCGUCAUACAACGUCGCUAUAUAUUAUUAGAAGUGGUAACGUAUUGUAAAACAUGAUUAUGCAAUGAUUGGUUUAAUAUAUAAUAAGAUCUUGAAAAAGAAAUUUUCUUUCCCAAAUACGCAAGAAGGUUAUUUUACUUAUAGCCCGAAUGGCACACCAUAUUUUUCAAUCCUUCAUUCGGCCAUUUUCACACGCCGCGCCAUUAGCCUGUUUGCGCUUUUCGUGGAAGUUGCAGAGGAUGUACUCAUCGCAUUUCAACGAUGAUAUAAUAUGUACAGCAAAAAUUUAUGGCAAGGGUGACAUGAAUCAGAUUGACAAGAAUCCAUAUUCCUACUCCUCAAUAAUGCUAUCAUCACUGCCAUCAGAUUCAUCAAUGAUAGUGGCAUCAGUGACACAUGCGGAUAAGUGUUCGACAUCACUGCAGGAAUAGCUUCCUUGUUGUGCCUGCCAAUAGCAAGGUACCAGAUUAUACAGCAGUUAUGUGGAAACAGAUUCCCACAAUAGGGGGACCAGAUUGACACCUACAUUGUACAGUAUCAGGCAGUUAUAUCAGAACUGGAAAAACUGGAUCCAAACAAGACUAUAUUGCUUGGAAGAAACAUGUCGACUCUGAAGUUUAACCCUUAUUAACCCAUGGCACUUCCAGAGACAUUCUGAUACCAUGGUUCUAUGUCAUUUGAAAUAUACCUGUGGAGGUUUUUAAAGUGGGUUUUUUUUGGGGGGGGGUGUUAUUAAUUGGAAGAAUUUAUAUUUGAUGAUUCAAAUGAAAAUCUGCAUGUUGAAAUAUGAAUGUCAUAAUAAAUGUACUUUUUGAAUGAGUUCAA